CGCACAUUGCGCCCUUUGGCAUUCCGAGGGGCAUGCCCGUUCGAGCGUCAUUAAAUCCAAUCAAGCCCGGCUUGGUAUUGGGCGCCGGGAACUUCCCGCGCCCCAAUUUCGCCGGCUGGCCGUCGCCUGUCUUAGCGUUGUGACUUGUUAUUCGCUAACUGACGGGACCGGUCCACGCCGUUAAAACCCCCGAAUUUCAAUCGAAAUUCGAUUAAGGUUGACCUCGGAUCGGGUAGGAAUACCCGCUGAACUUAA
rnacentral:misc_RNA from 1 species